AGCAGCGCGGUAUUCCAGCUCCAAUAGCGUAUAUUAAAGUUGCUGCAGUUAAAAAGCUCGUAGUUGAAUUUCGGGAUCAUCAUGUCGGUCGUGCCUCGGUACGUACUGGCAUCGUUGAUUUCUCCCUUCUGACGAACCAUGAUGUCAUUUAUUUGGUGUUGUGGGGAAUCAGGACUGUUACUUUGAAAAAAAUUAGAGUGUUUAAAGCAGGCUCACGCUUGAAUACAUUAGCAUGGAAUAAUGAAAUAGGACGUUUGAUUCUAUUUUGUUGGUUUCUAGGAUCGACGUAAUGAUUAAUAGGGAUAGUUGGGGGCAUUAGUAUUCAAUUGUCAGAGGUGAAAUUCUUGGAUUUAUUGAAGACUAACUACUGCGAAAGCAUUUGCCAAGGAUGUUUUCAUUAAUCAAGAACGAAAGUUAGGGGAUCGAAGACGAUCAGAUACCGUCGUAGUCUUAACCAUAAACUAUGCCGACUAGGGAUCGGAUGAUGUUAAUUUUUAAUGACUCA
rnacentral:rRNA from 1 species